rnacentral:rRNA from 1 species
GUCUAUGGCCAUACCACCCUGAACAUGCCCGAUCUCGUCUGAUCUCGGAAGCUAAGCAGGGUCGGGCCUGGUUAGUACAGUGGUGCCCCCGCAUAGUGAUGAUAAUCUGUGCAGCAAAAAUCA